UUAUAGCUUAGUGGCGGACGGGUGAGUAACGCGUGAGCAACCUGCCUUUCAGAGGGGGAUAACGUUUGGAAACGAACGCUAAUACCGCAUAAGACCACACUUCCACAUGGGAGAGGGGUCAAAGGAGCAAUCCGCUGAAAGAUGGGCUCGCGUCCGAUUAGAUAGUUGGGGGGGUAACGGCCCACCAAGUCGACGAUCGGUAGCCGGACUGAGAGGUUGAACGGCCACAUUGGGACUGAGACACGGCCCAGACUCCUACGGGAGGCAGCAG
rnacentral:rRNA from 1 species